AUAUUUGAAGAUGUUGUAAAUGGUUUCUAAUUCGCGGGGUACCUCUAACAUUACAAGUGUAUACUAUGUCUGUCAAAAGGGCUUCAUUGCAACAAAAUGUCUUGUUGAAGAUUCUUGAAUUCCUUUACAGCCAGAUAGUAUAUGCAAACUCAGCGACUACCAUUUUGAAGAUGACUGCUCGGCAUGUUCGACCCUUGGCUUUGCUUACAAGCCACUGCAUUUUCUGGUUCUAGGCAGUGAUGUGAGGAUAAGUCUCCUUCAGCCAGUGCAUUGUUUUCUCCCAUAAUUCAACUGUGACUGGGCAGAAUAGUAGGCAGUGAUGUGAGGAUAAGGCUCCUUCAGCCAGUGCAUUGUUUUCUCCCAUAAUUCAACUGUGACUGGGCAGAAUAGUAGCAAAUGGUCCCUGGUCUCUGGAUGGUUUUGGCAUAACUUACAUUGUAACGUAAUCUUCUUUGAUCAAUCACAAUGGAAAGAAUCAUUCCUUUACUAACGUGAAGUAAAAAAAAUAUGCUAGGAAUUUCAUUUUUGGUACUCAAACCAUUCAAAUCAGUAAUAAAUCCUAGUAUAGUAAAAAUUCUACCAUACUCAUCUCUCCAGAUUCAGACUAAAACAACAUUAGCAAUAUAAAAGGAAUAAUAGCCAAAAUAAAUUUCUAUUUAGGGGACAAAGCCAACUUCCAAGUUUAAAGGCACAGUCAGUUGAUGGCAUAAUACCAAACAAUGAUAAGAACUGUUAAAUCCCACGGAGAAACAAAUAAUUAUCAUUGCCUUAGCAUUAUAAGCAUGUUCUCAUUGAAUCAAAAGGAGAAUUACAUGUCCGGGAAAAGAA
rnacentral:lncRNA from 1 species